rnacentral:rRNA from 1 species
AAGACCUUGCGCUUUUGGAGCGGCCGAUGUCUGAUUAGCUUGUUGGUGAGGUAAAGGCUUACCAAGGCUUCGAUCAGUAGCAGGUCUGAGAGGACGGCCAGCCACACUGGGACUGAGACACGGCCCAGACUCCUACGGGAGGCAGCAGUGGGGAAUUUUGGACAAUGGGGGCAACCCUGAUCCAGCCAUGCCGCGUGAGUGAAGAAGGCCUUCGGGUUGUAAAGCUCUUUCAGCCGGAACGAAACGGUUACGAUUAAUACCCGUAACUACUGACGGUACCGGAAGAAGAAGCACCGGCUAACUACGUGCCAGCAGCCGCGGUAAUACGUAGGGUGCGAGCGUUAAUCGGAAUUACUGGGCGUAAAGCGUGCGCAGGUGGUUUUGUAAGUCAGAUGUGAAAUCCCCGGGCUUAACCUGGGAACU